rfam:Cavia porcellus supercont2_15 genomic scaffold, whole genome shotgun sequence.
GGGAAUUUAGCUCAGUGGCAUAAGUGCCUGCCUUGCAAGCAGGCAGUCAUGAGUUUGAUCCCCGGGUUCCCU